rnacentral:rRNA from 1 species
GACGAACGCUGGCGGCGCGCUUAACACAUGCAAGUCGAGCGAAGCGGCGGACGGGUGAGUAACACGUGAGUAACCUGCCUUAGACAUUGGGAUAGCCUCGGGAAACAGGGAUUAAUACCAAAUGGUCUAAGAUGGACUCGCGUCCCAUUAGCUAGUUGGGGGGUAACGGCACACGAAGGCGACGAUGGGUAGCCGGCCUUAGAGGGUGAACGGCAACAUUGGAAAUGAGAAACGGUCCAAACUCUACGUGAGGCAGCAUGGGGGAAUAUGGCACAAUGGAGGGAACUCUGAUGCAGCGACGCCGCGUGAACGAAGAAGGCUUUCGGGUGGUAAACCUCUUCGCUAUCGAACAUUUUUUUGGUGGGUUGAGGGUAGGUGGAGAAGAAGCGCCGGCUAACUACGUGCCAGCCGCCGCGGUAAUAC